rnacentral:misc_RNA from 1 species
GCGGAGGAAAAGAAACCAACAGGGAUUGCCCCAGUAACGGCGAGUGAAGCGGCAAAAGCUCAAAUUUGAAAUCUGGCUCCUUCGGGGCCCGAGUUGUAAUUUGAAGAGGAUGCUUUGGGUGCGUCCGCGGCGUAAGUCCCUUGGAACAGGGCGUCAUAGAGGGUGAGAAUCCCGUCUUGAGUCGCCGGCGCGCGCCCGUUUAAAGCUCCUUCGACGAGUCGAGUUGUUUGGGAAUGCAGCUCUAAGUGGGUGGUAAAUUUCAUCUAAAGCUAAAUAUUGGCCGGAGACCGAUAGCGAACAAGUAGAGUGAUCGAAAGGUUAAAAGCACCUUGAAAAGGGAGUUAAAUAGCACGUGAAAUUGUUGAAAGGGAAGCGCUUGCAGCCAGACUCGAGCGCGGAGGCUCAGCGGGUAUUGUUAUGCCCGUGCACUCCUCCGCGCCCGGGCCAGCAUCAGUUUUGGCGGCCGGUCAAAGGCCCCCGGAAUGUAUCGUCCUCCGGGACGUCUUAUAGCCGGGGGUGCAAUGCGGCCAGCCGGGACUGAGGAACGCGCUUCGGCACGGAUGCUGGCGUAAUGGCUGUAAGCGGCCCGUCUUGAAACACGGACCAAGGAGUCUAACAUCCACGCGAGUGUUCGGGUGUCAAACCCGUACGCGCAGUGAAAGCGAACGGAGGUGAGAGCCCCUUCCGGGGUGCAUCAUCGACCGAUCCUGAAGUCUUCGGAUGGAUUUGAGUAAGAGCGUGGCUGUUGGGACCCGAAAGAUGGUGAACUAUGCCUGAAUAGGGUGAAGCCAGAGGAAACUCUGGUGGAGGCUCGCAGCGGUUCUGACGUGCAAAUCGAUCGUCAAAUUUGGGUAUAGGGGCGAAAGACUAAUCGAACCAU